AUUUGGCUGAGGGGAGAUCAAAAGGGGAACUGAGAAUUGCAAGUAUUUAUUUUUUCAUACUCAAGAAAAGAAAAGACUAUUCUUGGCCACAUUCCCAAGUUAUGAACAAGUAACUACUGUUAAUUCAAGAUAACUUCCUAUCAGGACUCAUGCUCUGAAAACCAGCCAAACAGCUAGCGCCUCACUCUCGUGGACUUGCUUCUGGAAAUCAGCCGGUCAACAGCCUCAUUCUAAGCAUCUGAGAGUGAGCACAUUAACAGCCCCGAGCUUCUGAAAGCCAAUCAGUGACAAACCCCCAAUCCUGCCAGUCAGCCGUCUAUGACAGCCGGUGCUUCUAGACAACAGCCAAUCAGAAAGUGCCCCACCCCAGGAGUCAAGAGAGCCCUCCUCCAGUGACCACGCUAAUACAGCUGAAAAUCCUUCAAUCUCUACACGCUCCUGCUUCUGAAAAUCCCCCAAUCCCGGAAUGUCAAGCUUCUCAAAACCUUAUAAAUUCAGAUGAAGAUAAAAUAAACACAGCAGAAGGUGUAGCGGCCUUCCACAGUCUGUCUUUCAGCUUGAAUAACUGUUUAAAUGUCCUGCUACCAGAAGUAUCUUCUGAUUUGAAAACUGCAAGCAAAUAUUCAGUGCCAGGACAAAAUCUACAGCAAUAAUAAAAAGUGUAAUAGCUGCAUUUACUACUACAGAUUAUCAAAGAUCUAAAUGCCUCCUGAUCUUUUUGCAGCAUAGCCACAGAUGCAAAUAAUCACAAUCAGAAAAAAUGUUCCUUUUGCUUGUGCAGUAUUUUUUUUCUGAAAAAGUCUUGCUUAGGAAGGCAUUGUGAGUCAAAUCUCUUCUGGGAUAGGAACUAGUGGAAUCACGUGUAUUGUUGGAGAAGAAGGAAGUAAAAAUGGACAACAAUCCUCUUCCGUAUCAAUGGACAACAUUUAAAAAAGUUAUUGAUCAAGAGAUGCAACAUAAUCUUCAAGAAUAGAAAAGCAAGUUAUGGCAUGAAAGAUGGUAUGUGCUUCAAGAAAUGAAAUUUGAAGAGCAAUUAUCAGAAUUUUAGCUUUAUGCCAGGAUGUGUUUAGCUUACUGGUUUAUAAUGCUACUAUUGAGCAUAUUUUCUCAUUGAUGAAGGUUAGAUGGACAAAAAAAACAAAAUAAGUUGAAUGCAACCACUGUGGAUAUGUUACAAUGUAGGUGGAAUAUGGACUGUAACCACAGGAAUUUUAUUAGCAAAUUAGGUGAAGCAAGGAGCUGUUAAGGACAGCCAUGUCAUCAGAAAAAUAAAAUUAAAGAAAGUG
rnacentral:lncRNA from 1 species